rnacentral:lncRNA from 1 species
UUAGUCAUGCAAGUAUUAUCAAUCUUGCACCAACUCCCCUAAUAGUACAAGAAUGUGAUUCAAUAGUACACACAUGUGAACAAAUAGUUAUAUAAGCAUGUGAAUUAGUAGCAAUUAAUUGCUCAUUUAUCCGAUUAAUUACCUGAUUUAUCAAUAUAACCCCCAGACAUCAAUUAUCAUCGGAAUAGAUGUCGAUUUCCACUAACAC